rnacentral:rRNA from 1 species
UUAAAUUGCUGUGGUAUUUUGACUAUACAAAGGUAUUGAAAUAAGAUUUUAAUUGAAUGCUAAGAGAAUGGAAGUCCAGAAAAAAACUUUUUUUAAAUUAAAAAUUGAGGUUUUUUUAAUUUGUGCAGAAACAAUUAUUUAUAUUAAAGACAAGAAGACCUUAUGAAUUUAUUAAAUUUUUAUUUAAUAUGUAAUUACUAUUAGAAAAAUUUUGGCUGGGGCGGCUAGAAAAUAUUAUGAACUUUUUAAAAAUAAAAUGAUCCAUUAUUAAUGAUCUUAUGUUAAAUACUUUAGGGAAAACAGCGUUAUAUUUUUUGAUAGAUCAUAUUGACAAAAAAGUUUGCGACCUCGAUGUUGGAUUAGGAUACUUUUUUAAUGAAGAUAUUAAACGAAAGAAGUUUGUUCAACUUUUAAUUUCCUACUUGAUCUGAGUUCAGGCAAA